GGAUUCCCCUAGUAAUGGCGAAUGAAGCGGGAACAGCUCAAAUUUGAAAUCUCCGUUGCUUGCAACGGCGAAUUGUAGUUUCGAGAAGCACUUUCUCGGCGGAUCCGGAGUCGUCCAAGUUGCUUGGAACAGCACGUCAUAGAGGGUGACAACCCCGUCUGUGGCGAGUCCGGCCGUUCACGAUGUGCUUUCAACGAGUCGGGUUGUUUGGGAAUGCAGCCCAAAAUGGGUGGUAAACUCCAUCUAAAGCUAAAUAUUGGCACGAGACCGAUAGCGAACAAGUACCGUGAGGGAAAGAUGAAAAGCACUUUGAAAAGAGAGUUAAAAAGUACGUGAAACCGUUAAAAGGGAAACGAAUGGGGUUAGCAAUGCUUUGUGCGAGAUUCAGCCGGCUGGUGGGGCAGGCGGGUGGUUUGCGGAUCUGAAUGGACCGCGGCCGCUCGGUUUGCCUUCCCGACCGUCGCACUUCUCGCCAGAGCGCGCCAACGUCGGUUGGGACUGGGUUUCAAAGGCGRCGGAAAGGUAGGUUCGACCCUUCGGGGAAGAACUGUUAUAGUCCGCCGUUAGAUGGCCCGGGCCCGACCGAGGAGCUUGCGGUGCAUGCCGUAUGGCUAGGGUCCCGACGUUUCGGCUGGUUGUCGAAUGCGGUGGACUGCAUGCAGUGCGCUGCGACUGCUGCCGGUCGCGACGGCGGUGACUUCAUACUAUGCGCCCACGACGUUGGCGGUCAUAUGGCCUCAUCCGACCCGUCUUGAAACACGGACCAAGGAGUCUAACAUGUGUGCGAGUCUUUGAGUGAUUGAAACUGCGAGGCGUAAUGAAAGUGAAGGCGGCUUUUGUCGCUGAGGUGAGACCCUUCUCUCCGGGGGAGGUGCAUCAUCGACCGACCUAUUCUACUCUUAGAAAGGUUUGAGUAAGAGCGCAUCUGUUGGG
rnacentral:rRNA from 1 species